GGCAGUUCUUGGGUGACGCAACCGGAAUCCGGCUCCUUCCUUUCUGGUUCCAGGUGCGUCAUCUGAGAACCGCC
rfam:Myotis davidii contig193791, whole genome shotgun sequence.